GUGUUAUAAUAUUAUUUUUGAUGUAUUAAAUAAUAUAUAGAUAUAUAUACAAAUUCAUUGUUUGUAAAUUUGAUGUUGAAUUGAUACUUUUAAAGCAUUUAUACAACUCUUGAUUUUUAUUAAAAUUUGUUUUUACUUAUUUAUUUUUUUAAUAUGAAGAUUUUGUCAUGCCACUAAUGCUAUUGUAUUUAGCUGUAUUAGAAGAAAUAUUUAAUGUUUGCCUUUUUGUUUUGAUUGAAGCAUAACAUACACAUGUACACACUGCAAGUGAAAAGAAUAUAUGAGAAAAUGAAGUGAAAUUGACUAGUUUAAGAGAGUUUUUUUUUUAAAUAAAUAAAUAAAUUUUAAAAAAAAGACGGCAUCUGUCAGCAUAAAUUCAAGAUUUUUUUUACACUUGUUAAUAAUUGGCAAAUGGAGAUUUUUCUUCUGUUGAUACAGAAUACUGCUACAAGUAAUUUCAGGAAAUAUUUUACAUUGAAUUAAUAAGAAAAUUGCUUUACAUGAGGAAGUAUUUAUUAUUGAUUUUUCUUUGAUUGUGAAAAGAGUAACUGAUAUCCAUACCAGUAGCCAGGGGGGGUUUAGGAAAAACAAAUAAGCACUGUUAAAGUCCACGUUCUGUUCAAAUUGUGACUGUUGAAGUCAAGUUUGUGAGUCCAAAUACCCCCCCCCCUUGGAAAUUCCUGGCUACGGGCCUGAUAUCUAUUGUUAACUUACAAAUAUAUCCUUUACUACAUCACAAAAACAGUAAUAGUACUUGUACUGCCCCAAUGACUUACAGUUAUUCUGGAUUUCAGUUAAAAUUUAAAAAAUAUGUAUUUUUACAUGAAUGGUACUUAUAGAACAAAUAUGUCAUAAUAUCCUAGUAAAAGUAGAGUUAAGUUCUAGUGACUAUAUAUUUUUGUACAUUAAUGUUGCGUAGUACAUUUGUAUUUUACUUUUUCAGUGUUUCUGUACUUAGUAUUUAAUUGUCUUGAAUCUGUUAAAGAAUAAAUUACUGAUAAAGGGAGAUAACAAAUAUAAAUGAAAGAAAAAACAAUCUUUAUUUUGUUUGUGGGACUGAAGAAUAUUUUUAUACAUUGCGGUUCUACUUUCAAAUAUAAUCAAACAAAUUAAGUGUUUUCAUCUGCACUACUUUUAAACUGUCAAAUCUAUGAUGCAAGUUUUCAAAUGCAACAGGAAUAGAACACAUGGUACAUUCAUAUAUUUAUAUAUUUGUAAAUAGAAAAAUAUCCAUGACAUUUAAAAACCACAUUUUCUAUUGUGCUUAAGAUAUGUGCCAUAUGAUAUAAUUGUUUGUUGGACGAUCACAGUUUGCAUAUUUAAUAUCAACCUUCACAGUAUAAUAUUUUUAUCAUCUUAUGCAUUUUUUUUUGUACAUUAACAUCACAAAAUAUUACCAAUGGUUGUAUAAAUUGAAAUGGUUGUUUUAACACAUAUUUAUUUAUAUUUUGAUAAAGCUGCAAGAAAAGGCAGCAGUGACCAGUAUUUUUACAAGUAAAUCCAAUAUGUUAUGAGUAAUGUACAAGACACAUUUACUUUCUUCUUUUUUCUUAACAAUGUAUAUGUUUGUGAUACAUGUUUGGAGAUUUUUCUUCUUUACUUUUCCUAUUCCAAGGAGAAAGGGGGGGGGUAACUUUCCAGACCUGACAUCCUGAUAUGUUAGAGGUGCUAAUGUUGGAAAUAGAAACAUUAAGUUUUAAAAGAGUCUCUUCAACUCUCUUGGUAAGGAGCUAUAUUUGAGGAGUUUUCUCAUUUCAAAACAAAGUAAUUUUUAUACCCGUAUAAAGUAAUCUGUAAUAAAUUAUAAGUGAUUUGAUAUGGGUAUGUAAGUAUAGAAAAUCUAAAGAAUCUCAAGGAAAAUGUCUUACUUCUUAUUGUUUGAUGAUGAUUGACCUAUACUAAAUAUUAAGUAGGUCAUCAUGAAUUGGUUGAUAUGAUUCACUAAUUUUGUAAAAAAAAAAUCAUUUGUCCGUCAAGUUUUCAAGUAAUAUGAGGAUUAUAUGUUUUGAGUAUAAAGCAAAUAAAGGAAACCAGAAAAAAAAAGUUUCAAUCUUAAAUUUAGAUUUGACUAAAAACAUCUUUAAAACUCAUAAUUUGAGCCUAAGAGAAGACAACCCUGCAAAACAAAAUCACCAGUCUCUUCUAUAAUACAUUGUUUUCGUGCAUUGAAGGUGAUUUCCCUUAUAAACUAAAUAUUACAAAUCAUUGUAUUUAACAAAAAGUUCAUUAUUUGUUUUUAUAAAAGUGAGAUUUCAAGAUAUUGACUACGAAUACAGGUCUUCUUUCAGGUAAGAAAAGUUUAUAAAUUGGACAACAUAUUAUUAAAAAUGAAUUUUAUUGUUACAUUUAUUAAAAUUGAAUGCUAUAUUUUGUCUUUAAAAUCUAUCAGACAUUUUUUCUGAUAGAACUUUUAUGGGAUGUUAAAACUUAAGAUUGGAAAGGCAUAGAACUUUUAUGGGAUGUCAAAACUUACAAUUGAAAAGGCAUAUCCAGUAAAAUUAUUUAAUUUUUAUCAAGCUAUUUAUCACUUUUGCUUUUAUGUAUAUGAAUUGUCAACAAUCAUUAAUUUGUACAAAAUGCAAUCCAAUUCAUAUAUAGCUUUUCUACAAUGUAUUUCUCCUGUUUGUAUAUACUCAUAGAGAAUUUCUCCUUUCAUACUAACUUUUUACUGCUUGAAUGCUUUUUGUUACGUUAUAUCAUGUUUUUUUGUAAAUAAUUUUGUUACAUUUCCAUGGGUAUAAUAAAACCAUAUUUUUGUCAUAGAACAAUAUAAGCAUUUAAUAUUGUAGUGAACCAAUGUUUGCUUGUUGUGGAUUAUUUUUUUGUUAUAUUUGUCCCUUUCUUAAGAUUCUAUUUCUGAUGUGAUAUAUGUUAAAUGUAAGUAAAUGUGUAAAAAUUUAUUAAAGCUAUAUAUUAACCAAAUUUAGAACAUAGAAUAUCAUUAAUUAGACCAUAGUUUUAGACAAAUAAAAUGUUUUACGUAUGGAAAAUGAUAUUAUGAUUUCAACAGCAGUAAGGAUACCACUAGUAUUAGUUGUCAUACUCAAUAAGAACAGG
rnacentral:lncRNA from 1 species